GAGAGGGCGGGCGCACCGGGACUGGCUAGAGCGAGACCCCGGCGCGAGGGUGGCGCUGGGGGGAGGGGCGGCGGCGGCUCCACGCGCCCGCGCUGCGUCAGUCGCCCACGGUGGCAGCGGCAGCGGCAGCCCCGCGAUGGCUAAGGAAUGCGGCGGCUCCGCAUAACCACGGGGUCAGAGGUCACGGCUCCGGCCUCCGCGUUCCCGCGCUGCUGGGAAACCCAAGAGCGAACUAGUGGCGGGCGGGCCCGGAUGGCGAGACGCGGCUUUCCUUUCGACGCUCGGAUGCGUGCGUGUCUGCCGUGGGUGACCUUUGAAAGUUAACAGGGGUGCCAUGGGCUGAGUAAGAUAAACGGAACUGCUGUUCAACCCCGCCCAGUCUGGGGAUGAGUCAUUGUUUUCAAAUUUAUGAACAAAGCACACAAAUUAAGAAUAAUACAAGCAAGAAACAGCAGAGAGACACAAAAGGACAUAGAAUCCCUGAUCCUCACUGUGAUCUGGUAACACUAGUUCUAGGGCUGGAGAGAGAGAUGCUCAGGGCAAGUGCUCUUACAGAGAACAUGAGUUCAAUUCCCAGAACCCACAUGGUACCUCACAACUGCCUAUUUCAUACAUGUGGGGCAGAACACCGAUACACAUACUUUUUUUUUUAAGAAUUGAAAAAAAAAAAAAAUUGGUUCUGGACUCCAGUGGGUCUGAGUUUGAAACCGUAGCUGUUCUCCAGUUGUGUGGCCUUGAAUAAGUUAUGCAACUUCAUCAACCAAGCACUGUCAUUGGACAGCAGAGAAUAUGACAAAAGUCAACGGGCGAUCUGAACAAGUGGCACAUGCUUGCAUACUUGGAUGACACAGUUCGAGAAGCACUUGAACCCUGAAGUUUACAAACAGCCUCGAUAACACAGGAAGACCCCAUCUCAGAAGAAUAGAUGAGAUCACUAUUUCUCAGCUUCAGCAUUGCAGAUGAUCAGCUAAUGUGGAACUCUCCAGCCCCUUUGCACAUUGCAUUUCUUUGCAUGGCUUUUGGUUGGUAACUAUACAUUUGGCAUCUGUUUGGAUUUUUUUUCUGUAUACCCCAAAUGCCAGCCAUAGUCUUGGGCAUAUAGUAGGCAGUCAAACUGUUGGUGUAUGAACCAUUCUCAGUAAUUCUUUUGUUGUAGACAGUCUCUGAGGAAUUAUCCCCUAUUGAAUGGUCUCAUAACAGUUUUGGAAAGCGCUCAUGUAGGGAAAAAACUAAGAUAAGAUUUUACCCAGGAAGGUCUCCACAAGUGCAAAGUAGAGACUUCAGGACAUUCCCAGUCUCGUUGUGUUGCCAAAUCUACCCUCACAAUGCAUGACUUAACUCAUAAAUCCUGGGCCAGUCACAGUUUUUUAAAUUCUACUCUUUAGUCUCCCAUGCUCUGGAGAAGGUAUUUAAAUUGCCAAAAUGUUUAACAAUAGUUCUCUAGGUUUUAUAAGACUAGUUAGUUUACUGGUAAUUUUUCUGUACAAAAAAAUUGCAUUGGGCUGGUGAGAUGGCUCAGUGGGUAAGAGCACCCAACUGCUCUUCU
rnacentral:lncRNA from 1 species